UCAUUUAAAUAUUCAGAACGGAUCAGCUUGGUUUUAAACAAUUUUCUGUCCAUCGUCUAGAUCCAAAUGUCCGUGGUGUCCUCCCGGGCUAGUUGUCGCAGACUGCUCCAGUCCAGCUCCAAGCAGGCUGUGGGCAGAGCCAGACCUGGCUGAGCCUCCAGGUGCCAGGAAGCCUCAGUCCAGCAGGGGCAGCUGGAAAGGGGUAUAGGAAAAGCCACUCCUUGUCCUCCUUCCUCCGCAGGGACCUGGUGACAGGGAAGCAAGAGGUUCCCCUGAAGGGCCGCAGCAGGUGCACAUCUGUCCUUGCACACGGCUCCUCAUGCCUAAAGCUCAGGGGCCCAGGGGGCGCUGCCAGGAGCAAGAGGGGGUCUAACAUGGAUUUGGAAGUCCUUGCUCUGGGUCCCGGGAGUGCGCUGAGGCUCCUGAGUGGUCUGCAGACACGGACAGUCAUCCAGUCCAGGGCCACGGCAUGGGUGAGAGGGUGGGAUGGGGUGCGGUGGGCAGGGAGCCCUGUGUGGCUUUGUGGUGGGUCAUGGCCUUGUGCACUCACCUCCAGUCCUCACUCCCUCACUGUCCAGACUGCACUGAGAAUAGGAAUCAUGUUAAAAGUCUGUCACCCACCGUGUGUUGUGUGGCUAAUGACAACCUCACCACCUGCUAGAGUUCCUGCUUUCCAGGGCCCAGGACGUGGUUUCUCCCUGCUCCCCGCCCACCAGCAAGGGUGAACUGUAGGGAUCCCGAAGGGAACAGAGCUGAGCUCAGAAACAGACCACACGAUUCAGGGACACAGCCCUGCUCUGCCAGCUACCCCGAUGGGACAAUGUUCUCAGACACUUCAAGUCCUCCUUUCUACUGUGAUCUGCGUGUUUGUGGGACAGCCCUAGUUCUGACCAGACAGCUGCACGGCUGGAGGCUGGUGUGUGUGUGUCCAUGUUUGUGUGUGCUGCUGUGUGUGAGUGUGUGUGUGCUGCUGUGU